UACGAAGGGGGGCUAGCGUUGCUCGGAAUGACUGGGCGUAAAGGGCGCGUAGGCGGACGGCUUUGUCGGGCGUGAAAUUCCAGGGCUCAACCUGGGAACUGCAGUGGAAACUGGACGACUAGAGUGUGGUAGAGGGUAGCGGAAUUCCCGGUGUAGCAGUGAAAUGCGUAGAGAUCGGGGAGGAACACCAUGGCGAAGGCAGCUACCUGGGCCAACACUGA
rnacentral:rRNA from 1 species